rnacentral:SRP_RNA from 1 species
GCUGGGCAUGGUGGCGCAUGCCUGUAAUCCCAGCUACUCAGGAGGCUGAGGCAGGAGAAUUGCUUGCACCCAGGAGGCAGAGGUUGCAGUGAGCCGAGAUCGCGCCAUUGCACUCCAGCCUGGGUAACAAGAGCAAAACCCCGCCUCAA